GUUCGUCACGAGCUAUAUAAUAAAUACGGAGACGUCUCCGUUUGGUGCUCCUUUUCUCAGCAGUCAAACAAAUGUCAUAGGAUCGCUAUGAGGAGUGGAUGUUUUCAUACGCAAUUUCGCGAUGACAUUUGUGUAUCCUGGGGCUGUUCAAACUUCACGUAUCGCGAAAUAGAUGUGACAUCAUGAUCCACCAAAAAGCGGAUGUUUUUAAGGAGUUAAAUAUCAGCGGGUCUCGUACGUUUUACGUCACUUGGAAAUGUGCAUCUGUACGAGCAAGCGUCUUUCCGCUAGCACCGAGAUCAAGUUGACGUCGUCUUCUCGACUACCCUCGUACAUCGAUCGCUCUUUCGGGCACACCAUAUGAAAUUCACGCGUUUUCUGAGACCAGUUCUGGCUUUUAUUCGGCAUAAGACGACUAUCGUCGAAGCUGCGAUUGCCAAGCACGUAAGAGCGGCGUCUUCAGACCGAAGCAGAAUGCAUUGCCCAGUUUCGACCGCAGAUGUUCAUCCUGCUGUUUUUGUCAGGGGGACAAACGAGGUCCGAAAACCAUGCCAAACGAAGCAUCAGGCUGAGAUCUAGGAGAACUUUGGCGUUUACACGAGAAAGGUAAUUUUUUAUUUGUGCUCUGCUAGUAUCUAGGUACACAUACGGCAUGUGUAGAGGAAUUCUCGAUACGCCUUUGAACUCUAGAAAUGUAGUGCUGCGGUGGUUUCCAGUGAGGUUUGGAUCCACCACAAAAGGCAGAGAACUCAAGAGUUUCGAAAAUAAAGAUUUCCUGGAUGUGACAGAAUGAGAAAGGCAAUAAGUCUCUAGGCGGCCGGCGUCGUGGAAAGAAGAAAGCAAAAGUAUAUUGGGGGAAGACUGGACUGGCUGUGUUGUCCCGUUACACAGACACGACUUCUCGUAGGCUGAGGGCAUUCAUUCACGGAAUCGAGGGACCUCACUCUUGGGUCGAAGACAGUUUCACACAUGAAUCUUGAAUACACCACCAUUACAGGACUGAUUGGAUUCUUAGGUAUCAGAAGGUUAACUUAGAGUAAAUAGAGUGUAAUCUGCACGAUUUGUUUUCCUCUUGUCGUCGGGGUAAUCGUAAGUCAAUGAUUCUCUGACAGAGUUCCUCGUGACUCUCCUUUCUGGAUCUACCAAAGUUAUUCGCUCCGAGUAGCACUGGUGGUAUUCUGUGGCGACGACCCCAUCUGAUCUACUGAGAUUCUCUGGUGCCUCUCUCAGUAACUCGCUCUCCCUUUUUCCGGCCUUUCCGCCAACCCCUUGGGUUUUACUUCGGAGGAGAGAAGAAUGUUUGUGCUCGUAUCUUCGGAUUACUGAGGGGCUCCGUCUCUCCCCCGACUAAAGGUCGGGACGUGUUGUGUAAGCGUGUGCUCGGUCCGAACAGCUGAAAGGUUCUAACAACUAUCCCAGAAAUUGGGCCUGAGCUAAGACUGCGAUAAAGCAGAUGCGGAUUCGCUUACAAGAUUGAUGCUCCUCGCAGUUCUCCGGUUUCACUCACUGUUUGUGGAAAGGCGUCCCGCAUACUGUAGGUCACGGUUGCAGUGUGUCCGGUGUUCUGCUAAUUCCCACAAACAGUGGUAUCAUAAGUUGAGGUGGAACCUUCAGAAGGAGCGAACUUUUUGACGGAUUUCGGCUAUUGUGUGCAAUUGCCAUCCAGUGUAAAAAUAGUGGCAGAGUCCUGUCAUGCUCAAAGCCGGGGCUGUCAUUGCUACUCACAGCACUGGUGCAAAAGAAACGAAAGUGGAUGUGAAGCAGGAUGGAUCUGCUUUCACGCACAGCAUGAAUCUGGUUAUUUCUUCGCAGAGGAAAGGAUCGAAAAGGAACCGAUGUCGUGUCGCCAUCGUGCAAUUGUGCCGACAUGUAUUUCUGUGUCCGUUGGUUUUGGUAACUUCGCUUCACAGAAAAAACAGCUAUGCUAGUAUUGAAUGAGUGGUUAUCGGAACAGGGCUGCAGCGGCGAAAAGCGUUCUGCUCCAUUCUCCUUCGCGUUACGACUACUGAGAGGUCACACUUGCCGCGUGGCUCGCAGUCACCACUGUACUCUGUAAAGUUUCCUCUCUGGAGGUCCACCUGUGCUUCCCCCAGUGUGCAUUGCCUCCCGACAUCUGCCCACUGGCGCGUCUGCUUCUGAGUUUGUCAAGUGGACGAUGAGAGUCGGGCUCUAAUCGCGAAUCAAGAAUUAUCGAGCUUAGAACCGUGUUUCGCUGUAGUGUGCAACGCGUCGAAUCCUAUGAGAUACCACACAUAAAACAACAUAAACACAGUUAAUUGAGGUUUUCUUGUUCUCUACCUGCCCUGCAACGCGUGGC
rnacentral:lncRNA from 1 species